GUGAACGAGCGACGCCGCGUGCGGGAUGAAGGGCUUCGGCUUGUAAACUCCUGUCGAGGGGGAGGAAGGCGCAAGCUUGACCUAUCCCUGGAGGAAGCACGGGCUAAGUUCGUGCCAGCAGCCGCGGUAAGACGAACCGUGCGAACGUUAUUCGGAAUCACUGGGCUUAAAGCGCGUGUAGGCGGAUGGGGACGUCGGUUGCUGAAAUCCCCCGGCUCAACCGGGGAACUGGCACCGAAACGCCCCGUCUGGAGGGACGUAGGGGGACCUGGAACUUCCGGUGGAGCGGUGAAAUGCGUUGAGAUCGGAAGGAACGCCCGUGGCGAAAGCGAGGUCCUGGACGUUUUCUGACGCUGAGACGCGAAAGCUAGGGGAGCGAACGGGAUUAGAUACCCCGGUAGUCCUAGCUGUAAACGAU
rnacentral:rRNA from 1 species